AUUGAACGCUGGCGGCAUGCCUUACACAUGCAAGUCGAACGGCAGCACGGGAGCAAUCCUGGUGGCGAGUGGCGAACGGGUGAGUAAAGUAUCGGAACGUGCCCAGUCGUGGGGGAUAACGUAGCGAAAGUUACGCUAAUACCGCAUACGAGCUAUGGAUGAAAGCGGGGGAUCGCAAGACCUCGCGCGAUUGGAGCGGCCUAUAUCAGAUUAGGUAGUUGGUGGGGUAAAGGCUCACCAAGCCGACGAUCUGUAGCUGGUCUGAGAGGACGACCAGCCACACUGGGACUGAGACACGGCCCAGACUCCUACGGGAGGCAGCAGUGGGGAAUUUUGGACAAUGGGCGAAAGCCUGAUCCAGCCAUGCCGCGUGCAGGAUGAAGGCCUUCGGGUUGUAAACUGCUUUUGUACGGAACGAAAAGGUUUGGCCUAAUAAGCUGGGCUCAUGACGGUACCGUAAGAAUAAGCACCGGCUAACUACGUGCCAGCCGCCGCCGUAA
rnacentral:rRNA from 1 species